rnacentral:rRNA from 1 species
AAAGCUCUUUUACCUGGGAAGAUAAUGACUGUACCAGGAGAAUAAGCCCCGGCUAACUUCGUGCCAGCAGCCGCGGUAAUACNAAGGGGGCUAGCGUUGUUCGGAUUUACUGGGCGUAAAGCGCACGUAGGCGGACUUUUAAGUCGGAGGUGAAAUCCCAGGGCUCAACCCUGGAACUGCCUUCGAUACUGGGAGUCUUGAAUUCGGGAGAGGUGAGUGGAACUGCGAGUGUAGAGGUGAAAUUCGUAGAUAUUCGCAAGAACACCAGUGGCGAA